UUUAAUUCUCUGUCAACUAAUCAGAACAAAUCUAGAGCUUAGCAACAACUUUAGUCAACACCCCAAACUCUCAUUCAACCAGAUAGUUAUUAACUACUCUGACUGACAAAGCACAGAGAGAGAGAGAGAGAGAGAGAGAGAGAGAUAUCAUAAUAUAUU